rnacentral:sRNA from 1 species
ACUGGGUGCGGUGGUGCAUGCCUGUAAUCCCCGCAGCUUGGGAGGCUGAGAUAGGAGGAUCUUGAGUUCAAAGCCAGCCAAAGGCUCUAAGCAACUCAGUGAGAUUCUCUCUCUA